rnacentral:rRNA from 1 species
GGCGGCCGUAACUAUAACGGUCCUAAGGUAGCGAAAUUCCUUGUCGGGUAAGUUCCGACCUGCACGAAUGGCGUAAUGAUGGCCAGGCUGUCUCCACCCGAGACUCAGUGAAAUUGAACUCGCUGUGAAGAUGCAGUGUACCCGCGGCAAGACGGAAAGACCCCGUGAACCUUUACUAUAGCUUGACACUGAACAUUGAGCCUUGAUGUGUAGGAUAGGUGGGAGGCUUUGAAGUGUGGACGCCAGUCUGC